UAAAACAACAAAGCGAAAAGCGUCUCGAGAGGGUCGCGGUUUCGCUUUGUAGCGAGAAAAAUAAUGGGCCUCGAGUUCGCGGAAAGGUCCUUCUGCCGGCGAGCGGCGUUUUCCGCGACUAUUUCCUCGCCACGUUUACGUUUUGCCGCGAUGACGAUGAAUCGAACCGACGCGACGCUCAUCGGUAGUCGUUCCCGUCGCUUGCGGCUGUUUCAGACGAGCCACUCGAUGGCUGCCAACCAAUCGUUUUCCUUUCUGUUUUCAGUUCGCCAUUCCGUGCAACGAUAAUCGCGAUGUCUAUCUACCGUAGGACGCAAAUGCUCUUUGAAGGCCUCCUGUUGGAGGAUGUACCAUCCUAUUUUUAAUCUCACGGUACAGUUUUUCUCUUGAAUAGCUGUAAAUUCUCGAUAACCAUUACGUAAUGAUUACUUUGAUCAAGUAGUUAAAUAAUCGCCAUUACAAUUACUUUGUAAUGGUAUUCGCAGCUACUCAACUAGAAUUUACCAGUAAUUCGAUUACUUUUUAAUAACUACUUAUAACAGCCCCAGAAAGUAAUUAAAAGGCGUCUGAAAUCUAGAGUAGUCGACGACUAGACCCGUACAGCGGUCUCGACGGGCUCGAGCGGUGAAAAUAUUUGGCACUGACCAUAACAGAAGGGAUAACGUGGCCUAAUCUUCGGUCACCGUAUCCAGCUCUGAGCGUUCCCUUCGGUCGGCACGUAUCUGACGUGGCACGCCAGCGAGCGUCUGGUCUGCAAGAGCCCUUACGCUUCACGCCGUGAAUUAAGGUCAACGGAAAUCGGAUUCGAACGGUAUACCGUUGAGCGGGGUGAAGUUGAACACCGAGGAGGUCAAGUUGUCUGAAAAGCACGCAGGUGCCGUCCGACUCGCUCGUCCUCGUAGCUUCCUGCCACCUUUCGCGGAGGACCUCCGCGCGAAACGGCUCCGAUCCGUCCGCGGGGCAUUCUGUUAUUUCCGGUUGGUCGUGCGUCUGAUUCGCGCGCGACAGUUCUACUUUUAGAACGCGACUAUUCUCGCUGGACGACGCCAGAGGCGACAAUGCACACGCGAAAGAUCGAUGCGACUCCGCGUGUCUAUAGACGCGUGUCCGUGCGUGUGCGCGCGGGUAGCGUGUGGUUGGGACCGUGUGUGCGUGGCUGUGUGUGCGUUGAGUGCGCGACGGUGCGUGGAAUAUUGACUCGGUUACGUAACCGUCUUUGCGUUAUUAGUGCAAACAACUCCCGAGGCGCCUGUUCGCGAUACUUCAAGGAACAAGUUUGCCCCAAUUUCGACAGCUUCGGACAAGGAGAAAUUCCAAGCCGAAGCCAUUCCGAUAUACUAUUCAGACCUGUAUCGCCUACUAAAAAUUGCCAUGGAUUUUCCAGACAGCCCAAUAGAUAAAACGCUAGAUAAAAUCACGCCAGGGGUGAACUUUUCGCUGAUGACUCGAUUAUGUUCCUCAAAAUUUUGCAACGAAGCAUAAUCGAAGGUGACUGGUUGAAAACGUGUGGCACGAAAGUUGGCGUCGAGGACCGAUUGAAGAGAUUCCCUAUGUGGGCCACGCACGUCGAAAAACAUUGGUUAGUCAUCUGGCCAGCGGAAAGCAGGUCAGACGAGGAAUGAUUUUCAGACCGAACAAAGUGUGAUCGUUACUGAAAAAGUGGGUCGCCCCGCGAGUCUUUCGAAACACUCGGUUUCUUGCUCCGCGGAAUUGCGGAAUAUCCGCACGAUAAAAGUUUUACGUCGUCCGCGUGAGCAAUCGAUCCGGCAGUCCAUUCUCCGAGAGAAAAUAAAGGAAGAUAUUAAAACACUUCCGCGGGUGUCGCUAGAUAUAGCGCGCUAUAUGAAUAGCCGAAAAUGGAAAAAAAUAAAAGAAAAGGAAAACUGAACGAAGUCUAUAUACGUGCAGAUAUUUAAGGGAAUAAUACCGUCCCGAGCUGCUGCUUUAAAGUAGAUAAGCUACCAGUCGAUAGGUCACGGCUUAAAAGUACCCCUUUCCUUAACUUCUUUUCGUUCGUCGUUGAGGCGAAAUUUCUAUUAGAAAAAUUCGUUUUUGAAUGAUUAACUCGGCCUUCUCGAGCCAGGAAAGGAUCUCUGCUCAUCGCCUUAAAUCGAUUUGUUAAUCCUCGCUUUCCUUGCGUGGCCAAUUUCCAGCAAAUUCAUCUAACGUGUUCCUCGCGACGUUAAUUAAAUUCGUCGCUCAUUAUCUCGUAACGCGAUUAUGCUGGCACCUGGUCUCCCGUGUGCAACACGAGAUUAAUUCUCUCGGGUGAUUGUCUCGCCCGAUCGCAGGGACGAUUAAUCGUCGCAAUUUGAUGAUCGAGAGUUUUCGAUGGACGCGUUGGCGCGUGUCCGUUCGGGAAUCGCUGCGAUAUUAAUUGCUGCGGUCUAAUUGCAACGAUUAAUCGCUACAAUCGGCCUGAAGUCCAAGGGGGAAGGCGCGCCGUCAACGCUCUCUUUCAGACGAGACACUAACAAGUCCCCCAGGUGUAACGCUGAUUCUUUAAUGAAACUUUUCGCACGGCUACAAAGCUCGAUACACCGAAGCUAAUUACACGGCCGGAGUCACCUAACAUGCUCUGCUGUGAAUAAUUUCCACGUUACGCGUUCCAUGAAAAGUUGUGCCACGUAAAACUUGCAUCGUUUCGAGCCAGGCAAUUACGCAGCUUGCGUACCUUUAUCGUAGGUGAAAGCGUUUCGAGCAUUCGAGACGCGUCUCCUUUUUUUUUUUUUUUAAAGAGAAAUUGUAACGCCCAUCUCGAAACCACGCAACUUUACCACACUUCACGCAACGGAUAAUCUACAAGUUAUUUAAGGGAAUGGGGGCCGUCGCAUCCUGUACGUCUAUGGUUUCUGAAAACGAACGGUGACACUGGAACAACCAGAACAAUGCUCUUAUCUGUAAAUCGAUAGAUUGCACUUUUGUGAUUGUUCUAGGGUCACGCGACUCGCGUAUCGAUAGCGUUAAAGGUCUAUUUACACGUAUCCGUAACGUGUCAGUUCCGUAUCCGUACCGUAUCGAUAUCGUCACGGAGCGGUGUCGGACGUGUGCGAACAUGCCCAUUCAAAAACAACAGAAGAAUAUUUCAAAUCACUGACACUGAUGGAACGUUACGGAACUGAACGGAUACGGAACUGAACGGAUACGGAACUGAACGGA